GUAAUUUAAAAAGAAUUGUUUCCGAUCAUUAUAAGGGGCAAACGGCAGACGUCACCUGUUGGAGAAGAGUGUGUUUACUCCUCCAUGUCACCUGAUUCCUCCUCUGAAGUUUUAGAGGUCUACAAGUGUAUGUUUGAUUUUCUCUUUAGUUGUAUUGCUUGAAUAAUGUUCGCUAUUCCAAUAUUCUUAAUUUUAAUGAAUUCAUUUUUCGAAAGGCUUUUGUCUCUCUUUGACACUGAAUAGAAUCCUGAAUGACAUCUUAAAAUACAUGUAUUCGAUACACAAGAGCAUGUUCUACGUAGGGACAAUUUCUAAAAUGAGAGACCCAGAACUGCAAGAUUGUACUUUAGCAGCCCCAGACGACACACCUCAAAAAUCCUGUGUGAGCAUUUUAUCUACAUGUACUUCUGUACCAGGUGUAUGUUAGAGAACUACUGGAUCAAGACCAGGCGUGAAAAUAUAUAGAUGAGCAGUAUUUGAUCAGUGAUUAGAUACAAAGAUUUAACCGAGACCAGAUUUGAAAAGAAAAGAGGAACACGACUGGAUCAGGGAUUAGAUAAAAAAUUAUUCCAGGCUAUGCGUGCAAAUAUGGACAUAUUUGAUCAGUGAUUAGAAACAAAAUUUUAUCCUAGACUAGACGUGAAAAGGUAUGAAUGAGCACUAUUGGAUCAGAGAUUAGAUACAAAAUUUUAUCCUAGACCACAGGCGUGAAAAGAUAUGCAUGAGCAGUACUAGAUUGGUGAUACAAAAUGUCAUCUUACAAAAGGCGUAAUGUAAUACAUAUUUAUGACAUUACAUCCUGUGCGUUUUCAAUCCGUAUCCCGUCUUUUAUCAACAUUUUGCUUGAUUUUUUGGCGUUUAGACUUUAAAAGUUAUUUUUUUUUAAAUAUUGGUUGUUCCUUCAUCUAUUUAUCUGGCUUUGUUGUCAGCCUUUAUUUUGCGUAAAUUUGUGAUUCAUAAUUUUUCAAACGUUUAUUUUCUGUAUUCUUUUCUUUAUUUUAGUUCAAUUAAGUUGCAUAAUUUAACAUAUUCCUCGCAUUUUUAAACUUUAUUUUAAACAUUUAAAGCAUACAUAUACGUAAAAUUUAGAAUUAAACAUACAGCAGCUGAAAGGAUUGAAUAUUUUAAGAAUAGCUAGGGCUGUGCAGAAAAAUUUCGGACAAUAUCAAUGAUCAAUACAUUAUAAUAUGUAAAAAAAAAUAUUUACUUUGUUGGUGUGUUUUGUUUCAUAAUUAAUCAAAGAAACUUAUAAUGCAUUAUUCUAAAAUUAACAUGUUUUGUUUUCCAAGGAGCACAUUUACAACAUUGCAACUUUAAAAACAUGACGUAAUGAAUUUCUCCAAAAUGCUCUACCUUGACAUUUCACUCAAGUCUAGCUGGCUGGCGUCACACACACUUUUU